GACGAACGCUGGCGGCGUGCCUAAUACAUGCAAGUCGAACGAACCGCGGCUGAGUGCUUGCACUUGGUCAAGGUGGGUGGCGAACGGGUGAGUAACACGUGGGUAACCUACCUCAUAGGGGGGGAUAACAGUCGGAAACGACUGCUAAUACCGCAUAGUACAUGGAAUCACAUGAUUCUGUGAGGAAAGGUGUCGCAAGCUAUCUCUAAGGGAUGGACCCGCGGUGCAUUAGCUGGUUGGUAGGGGAAUGGCCUACCAAGGAGAUGAUGCCUAGCCGAACGGAGAGGGUGAUUGGCCACAUUUGGACUGAGACACCGCCCAAACCCCCAAGGGAGGUCACAGGAGGGAAUCUUCCGCCAUGGAGCGAAGUCCGACGGAGCAAACGCGGGUGAGUUAAGAAGGUUCUCCGAUCCUAAAGCCUUUUUGUUAGGGAAGAAAAGAACGUAGAGUUACUGUUAUGCGUCUGACGGUAACUAACCAGAAAGCCACGGCUAACUACGUG
rnacentral:rRNA from 1 species